rnacentral:rRNA from 1 species
GUUAAAAAGCUCGUAGUCGGAUUUCAGAUUUGUUGGUUCAUUCUCAUCAUGAGUUGUUUCAGCAUUUCUUCUUUGGCGGAAGACUUCCUAACAUUAAUUUGUCGGGUUGUUCAGCUGUCUCUUUUACUUUGAGAAAAUUAGAGUGUUCAAAGCAGGUUGAUUGCCUGAAUAUUACUCUUGGAAUAAUAAUAUAGGACUCUGGUU